AUCAUCAUCAUCAGACGCGCUGCAAAUGGAGAAACGAUCUCCAAACCUGCAGGGGGCCCUCAGCGUAACAGCUCAACAGAGAGACACACGGGAUGGAGAGAGAAAGAACAGCUGACUGAAUCCCAACAGUGUAUGAAGAUACAGCGGGAACGAUGUACUGUCCAUUCUGUGGAUCUGUGCUUACAGCUUCCCCUGCCUUUUGCUGUGCAUGUGGCAAAAACAUAACUUUUUUAAAGCAUGUCAAAGAAGACACGCCUGCCACUCAUGCACAAGUUGAUGUUGCACAACCUAGCACCAGUGCAGGCACUGAUAAUUGAAGGUGAUGUACCUACUCUGAAGGUCUGGGACAUUCCAGAUAGUGUGAGCACACCAAGAAUGGAGAAAGUUUUGCAGGGGUAAAAAUUGCCUUUGUCAAGUGAUGUUUAUGCUUCAUAAACAAAACAAGUAAUCAGUAGUGGAGCAGGGAAAUUCAUGCAUUAUUUGUUAUUC